rnacentral:rRNA from 1 species
CAGUCGCCGCGGGAAUACGAAGGGGGCUAGCGUUGCUCGGAAUGACUGGGCGUAAAGGGCGCGUAGGCGGUUUGUACGGUUGGAUGUGAAAUUCCUGGGCUUAACCUGGGGGCUGCAUUCAAUACGUGCAGGCUUGAGUGUGGAAGAGGGUUGUGGAAUUCCCAGUGUAGAGGUGAAAUUCGUAGAUAUUGGGAAGAACACCGGUGGCGAAGGCGGCAACCUGGUCCAUUACUGACGCUGAGGCGCGAAAGCGUGGGGAGCAAACAGGAUUAGAUACCCGGGUAGUCCCUGUCUCUUAUAC